AAAAUAAAAUAAUAAUAAUAAUAAUUACUGUUGUAAUUAUUAUUAUUAUAGUAACAUAAAUAAUAACAAUAAAGUUGGAAUCUCAAAACUAUUGAUGGCAAUGGCAAGUUCAUUAAAGACUACAGCAACAAUCUGCCUCCUGUUUGCGAUCUUUUUUUCUACAGAGAUUGGUCCAAUGAUGCUUGGAGAAUCACAUAACUGUGAUGAUUUUAGCAAGCUUUGCUUGACCGCUAAAUCUUGCACUAAAUAUUGCCUUAGAAAGGGGGCCGGUUAUGAAAGAGGUAGAUGCUUUGGAUUUAAUUGCUGCUGCUAUCCACAGAAGGGUUACAAGAGUCUGAAGUGAUUGAAAAUAGAACUAGGGGAUUAGUAUUUUUUCUCCUUUUUUAGCAUUAUAUUUUAGCUUUAUGUAGUUUAGGUAAAAGUGUCGUGAUUGAGUACAACAUAUAUGUGAAGUGCAUUCAAUUUGUUAAAUAUACACGUAUGUUGUGACA